GCCUUCGUGGUGUAAAGGUAGCACACUCGGCCCGUAUUCGGGAUGUCCAGGUUAGAGUCCCGGCGAGGGCA
rfam:Stegodyphus mimosarum contig119541, whole genome shotgun sequence.